UGCCCGGUAGCUAAAUGCGGAAGAGAUAAGUGCUGAAAGCAUCUAAGCACGAAACUUGCCCCGAGAUGAGUUCUCCCUGAGACUUAGAGUCUCCUGAAGGAACGUUGAAGACGACGACGUUGAUAGGCCGGGUGUGUAAGCGCAGCGAUGCGUUGAGCUAACCGGUACUAAUGAACCGUGAGGCUUAACCUUAC
rnacentral:rRNA from 1 species